UAGGGAAUAUUAGAAAUGGACGAAAGUCUGAUCUAGCAACACCGCGUGUGCGAAGAAGGCCUUCGGGUCGUAAAGCACUUUUUGGAAGGAAUAGGAAGGAAUGUACUUCCAGAAUAAGUCUCGGCUAACUACGUGCCAGCAGCCGCGGUAACACGUAGGAGGCGAACGUUAUCCGGAUUUACUGGGCGUAAAGCGCGUGUAGGUGGUUCUGUAAGUAGGGCGUGAAAGCUCCUGGCUCAACUGGGAGAGGCCGUUCUAAACUACAGAACUAGAGGAUGGUAGAGGGAGGUGGAAUUCCAGGUGUAGCGGUGGAAUGCGCAGAUAUCUGGAGGAACACCAGUGGCGAAUGCGGCCUCCUGGACCAUUCCUGACACUCAGACGCGAAAGCUAGGGUAGCAAACG
rnacentral:rRNA from 1 species